GACGAACGCUGGCGGCGUGCUUAACACAUGCAAGUCGAACGGAAAGGCCCUGCUUUUGUGGGGUGCUCGAGUGGCGAACGGGUGAGUAACACGUGAGUAACCUGCCCUUGACUUUGGGAUAACUUCAGGAAACUGGGGCUAAUACCGGAUAGGAGCUCCUGCUGCAUGGUGGGGGUUGGAAAGUUUCGGCGGUUGGGGUUGGACUCGCGGCUUAUCAGCUUGUUGGUGGGGUAGUGGCUUACCAAGGCUUUGACGGGUAGCCGGCCUGAGAGGGUGACCGGCCACAUUGGGCCUGCGAUACGGCCCAGACUCCUACGGGAAGAAGCAGUGGGGAAUAUUGCACAAUGGGCGGAAGCCUGAGGCAGCAACGCCGCGUGCGGGAUGACGGCCUUCGGGUUGUAAACCGCUUUCGCCUGUGACGAAGCGUGAGUGACGGUAAUGGGUAAAGAAGCACCGGCUAACUACGUG
rnacentral:rRNA from 1 species